GACGUAGGGUGCAAGCGUUGUCCGGAUUUAUUGGGCGUAAAGAGCUCGUAGGCGGCUUGUUGCGUCGACUGUGGAAACCCGCGGCUUAACCGCGGGCUUGCAGUUGAUACGGGCAGGCUAGAGUUCGGUAGGGGAGACUGGAAUUCCUGGUGUAGCGGUGAAAUGCGUAGAUAUGCGGAGGAACACCGGUGGCGAAGGCGGGUCUCUGGGCCAUAACUGACGCUGAGGAGCGAAAGCGUGGGGAGCGAACAGG
rnacentral:rRNA from 1 species